GACAAGGAGCCGGGGGCGGACGGGAGGAAAUAUCCCCGGAGGCUCAGCAGCUGAGACUGCUGGAUCCAAGGGGGGGGGGGGAGCCCUGCAUGUUUACUCGCGAGUAAGCCCACCGAGUUUCAUGAUCUUUUUUUUACUCACAAGUAGGCGUGCGCCGGUCUUGGAGGCUGGAUCUGCACGUGCACCGACGGGCGGGGAUGUGCCAUGACAUAUAGUAUGUAUAUGAAAUGAACUGAUCGUAAAUCUCUUCCUUCCUUUCCCCUCUACCUAAGGAGCUAAGAAGUGAGGCAAAGAGGCACCGGGAUCCAACUAAGUGAGGGGGCGCAUGGGACUGAGAAGCAGCUCCUCGCCAAGGGCUCAGUCGGAGCCACCCGCUUUCGGCUGUCAAAUUUGUCCAGAUACACCUUCCCUUUCCCCCGCCGCCGUUUGUCGCUCCUCCUGGAUUUGAGGUAGAACGUGCCUGCCGCUGGAGGCUCAUCAGGUGGUUUGAGGGUAUCCCUCUUGUUCACACUCCCAAUAUAUUGGGUUGGACUGGAAAAACUCCAGAGGGGGGUGGCGUGGUUUAGCAGGGAAGUUGAACAAUUCGCCUUUCCCUACCAGGCCUGCUGCUCACCACAAAAAAAAUUUCCCUGGGAAGAGUGGGAUUGGUGCAUCGGAUCAUUUAUGUCCAAGCUUCUCUUCACACCGCCUUCCGAAGUUUCUCUCCAAAUGAGAAGUAAAGUAUUCAAAGUCGAGAAUCUCUACACUGCCCAGCGGCAGAAGACGAGAGAAAAGUUUGGAACAGCGAAAGCAAGAAGCAGUGGCCAACAACAGCAUCUUGCCCUUAUUACAAACAAAACAAAACAAGGGUAUCAUACAGUGGUUUAUGAUAUAAUAUCAGCAAGAGAAAGCAAGGUUUAAAAAAUAGGCACAGGAGUGGAUCCCAUAUAGAUGCAGAGCUGAGUUUGCUUCCUGGCUGCAGCUAAAAAUGGAGAUAAUUAGUGACUGGAGGCAUAUCAGUCCUACAUACUUAAGGAAUCACUGUUCAAGUGAGUUCUGUCCCUGGGGAUUAGAGUUGUGCAAGGAUGUUAAUCAUCCCAGUGUUCUUAGGUAAAGAAGAAUGGUUAAGCUUCCUAACUUUGCAAUAUAGGCGUUGUGCGCCCUCUUCACUCUCCAUCAAACUUAGAGUCUUUUUAGAGUUGACCCCUUGCAACUUUGGGCAGUCUAGCCAUCCACCACAGAAAAAAAUGUGGAGGACUUAAAGAGGCUUAUUCUGAUGAUAAGGCUACUUAAUAGCUACUCUUACAAUAUUAAUCACAGGGUAGGAAGCGUACUCACAAAUGCAGCAUUAUCUAUAAUCUCAGCAAAGAUAGUCUGUUCAACCCACUGUAUUAUCUAAAUAGAUAAUGCUCAGAAAUAUUUGAUUUAUACCCUGGUGCUUUUGCUUUGAAUUGCUUUAUCUGCUUUUAUAAUUGCAUACAAACCGUUUUACUUUUUCAAUUGUAUGAUUAAAUUGCUGUAACUCACCCUGGAACCUUAGGGAGAAAUGACGAAUAAUAAAUCAUAUAAAUAAAAGACGUAUCAAUUCACAUUA
rnacentral:lncRNA from 1 species